rnacentral:rRNA from 1 species
AAAGGACCAGGAUUAGAUACCCUGUUACUCUAGGCGUUAAGUACAAGCCAGUUUAGUGGUUUUGCCGGGCAACUACGUUCUAACGAGUAAAAGUCAAAGUACCUGGCGGUUUAAGAUAUCUCGUCUCGUGAGACUUGACGGUUUAUCCGAUAAUCCGCGUUACACCCUACCUGUUUUAGCAGUAGGUCAACAGUUGGUGCAUGGUCGUUGCCAGCUCUUGUUUUGAGGCACUGAGGAAAGGAUGAAAAGCGCAAUUCGUUGGAACCCCCGUAUUAUGAGGGGGUGGACUGUGAAAUGCAGAGUUUAGGACGAAGGAAGUCAGAUCGUUAUACCGCCAAAAAAUAGGGCUUAGUUGAGUCACACUGAUUAGAUCAAACGGAAGUUCCUUUGAAAUAGGGGAUGGAAGGAGGAAUGAGUAGUAGUAGGAAAUUAGUACGUUCUUGCGAAUAGUAAAUUCUUAAGUGUACAGAUCGCCCGUCGCCUCCGGGGAGACUUGGAGA